rnacentral:rRNA from 1 species
AGGCAAAAUAGCCCCGUAACUUCGGGAGAAGGGGUGCCCCUGGGCGUGACGAGUAAUCGGUAGCGCAUGGGGGUCGCAGUGAAAUGGCUCUAGUGACUGGUUAACAAAACCACAGGUCUCUGCAAAGUCGCAAGACGAUGUAUAGGGGCUGACGCCUGCCCAGUGCCGGAAGGUUAAAGGGAGAGGUUAGAGCGCAAGCUCGAAGCUUUGAACUGAAGCCCCGGUGGACGGCGGCCGUAACUAUAACGGUCCUAAGGUAGCGAAAUUCCUUGUCGGGUAAGUUCCGACCCGCACGAAUGGCGUAACAACUGGAGCACUGUCUCAACGAGGGACCCGGUGAAAUUGAAAUGGCUGUGAAGAUGCGGCCUACCCGCAGCAGGACAAAAGACCCCGUGGAGCUUUACUGCAACUUGGCAUUGAAUUUGGGUAUGGUUUGUGUAGGAUAGGUGGGAGGCUAAGAAGCUAGUGCGUCAGCAUUGGUGGAGCCAAUGGUGAAAUAUCACCCUGAUCAUGUUUAGAUUCUAACCCCACACCGUAAACCGGGUGGGGGACCGUGCCAGGUGGGCAGUUUGACUGGGGCGGUCGCCUCCUAAAAAGUAACGGAGGCGCCCAAAGGUUCCCUCAGACUGAAUGGAAACCAGUCGAAGAGUGUAAAGGCAUAAGGGAGCUUGACUGCAAGACCAACGCGUCGAGCAGAGACGAAAGUCGGGCUUAGUGAUCCCACGGUACUGAGUGGAAGGGCCGUGGCUUACCGGAUAAAAGCUACCCCGGGGAUAACAGGCUGGUGAGGUCUAAGAGUUCACAUCGACGACCUCGCUCGGCACCUCGAUGUCGGCUCAUCACAUCCUGGGGCUGGACAAGGUCCCAAGGGUCGGGCUGUUCGCCCGUUAAAGUGGUACGCGAGCUGGGUUCAGACCGUCGUGAGACAGGUCGGUCUCUAUCCGCUGUGGGCGCAAGGAGUUUGAGAGGAGCUGUCCCUAGUACGAGAGGACCGGGAUGGACAGACCACUGGUGUGUCAGUUGUCGUGCCAACGGCAUAGCUGAGUAGCUAAGUCUGGCAGGGAUAACCGCUGAAAGCAUCUAAGCGGGAAGCUCGCCUCAAGAUAAGACUCCUGAUCCAAUAAAAUGGAGUAAGAUCGCAGGAAGACUACCUGCUUGAUAGGCGACAUGUGGAAGUGCAGUAAUGUAUUAAGCAAAGUCGUACUAAUGAUCGAGGGCUUCAGUAA